rnacentral:rRNA from 1 species
UACGAAGGGGGCUAGCGUUGCUCGGAAUUACUGGGCGUAAAGGGCGCGUAGGCGGAUGUCUAAGUUGGGGGUGAAAUCCCGGGGCUCAACCUCGGAACCGCCUUCAAUACUGGAUAUCUUGAGUUCGGGAGAGGAGAGUGGAAUUCCUGGUGUAGCGGUGAAAUGCGCAGAUAUCAGGAAGAACACCCGUGGCGAAGGCGGCUCUCUGGAACGCAACUGACGCUGAGACGCGAAAGCGUGGGGAGCAAACAGG